GAGACUGCCGGUGACAAACCGGAGGAAGGUGGGGAUGACGUCAAGUCCUCAUGGCCCUUACGGGUAGGGCUACACACGUGCUACAAUGGCGGUGACAGUGGGCAGCGAAGGCGCAAGCCGGAGCGAAUCUCCAAAAGCCGUCUCAGUUCGGAUUGCACUCUGCAACUCGGGUGCAUGAAGUUGGAAUCGCUAGUAAUCGCGUAACAGCAUGACGCGGUGAAUACGUUCCCGGGCCUUGUACACACCGCCCGUCACACCAUGGGAG
rnacentral:rRNA from 1 species